GAUGAACGCUGGCGGCGUGCCUAAUACAUGCAAGUCGAGCGAGCGGACGAGAAGCUUGCUUCUCUGAUGUUAGCGGCGGACGGGUGAGUAACACGUGGAUAACCUACCUAUAAGACUGGGAUAACUUCGGGAAACCGUAGCUAAUACCGGAUAAUAUUUUGAACCGCAUGGUUCAAAAGUGAAAGACGGUCUUGCUGUCACUUAUAGAUGGAUCCGCGCUGCAUUAGCUAGUUGGUAAGGUAACGGCUUACCAAGGCAACGAUGCAUAGCCGACCUGAGAGGGUGAUCGGCCACACUGGAACUGAGACACGGUCCAGACUCCUACGGGAGGCAGCAGUAGGGAAUCUUCCGCAAUGGGCGAAAGCCUGACGGAGCAACGCCGCGUGAGUGAUGAAGGUCUUCGGAUCGUAAAACUCUGUUAUUAGGGAAGAACAUAUGUGUAAGUAACUGUGCACAUCUUGACGGUACCUAAUCAGAAAGCCACGGCUAACUACGUGCCAGCAGCCGCGGUAAUACGUAGGUGGCAAGCGUUAUCCGGAAUUAUUGGGCGUAAAGCGCGCGUAGGCGGUUUUUUAAGUCUGAUGUGAAAGCCCACGGCUCAACCGUGGAGGGUCAUUGGAAACUGGAAAACUUGAGUGCAGAAGAGGAAAGUGGAAUUCCAUGUGUAGCGGUGAAAUGCGCAGAGAUAUGGAGGAACACCAGUGGCGAAGGCGACUUUCUGGUCUGUAACUGACGCUGAUGUGCGAAAGCGUGGGGAUCAAACAGGAUUAGAUACCCUGGUAGUCCACGCCGUAAACGAUGAGUGCUAAGUGUUAGGGGGUUUCCGCCCCUUAGUGCUGCAGCUAACGCAUUAAGCACUCCGCCUGGGGAGUACGACCGCAAGGUUGAAACUCAAAGGAAUUGACGGGGACCCGCACAAGCGGUGGAGCAUGUGGUUUAAUUCGAAGCAACGCGAAGAACCUUACCAAAUCUUGACAUCCUUUGACAACUCUAGAGAUAGAGCCUUCCCCUUCGGGGGACAAAGUGACAGGUGGUGCAUGGUUGUCGUCAGCUCGUGUCGUGAGAUGUUGGGUUAAGUCCCGCAACGAGCGCAACCCUUAAGCUUAGUUGCCAUCAUUAAGUUGGGCACUCUAAGUUGACUGCCGGUGACAAACCGGAGGAAGGUGGGGAUGACGUCAAAUCAUCAUGCCCCUUAUGAUUUGGGCUACACACGUGCUACAAUGGACAAUACAAAGGGCAGCGAAACCGUGAGGUCAAGCAAAUCCCAUAAAGUUGUUCUCAGUUCGGAUUGUAGUCUGCAACUCGACUACAUGAAGCUGGAAUCGCUAGUAAUCGUAGAUCAGCAUGCUACGGUGAAUACGUUCCCGGGUCU
rnacentral:rRNA from 1 species